rnacentral:lncRNA from 1 species
AUGGAGCAGUUUAAUCGACCCCUCCAGCCCAGAAGGAUCCUGGCUGUGUCCGGUUGGGGGAAACUGAGGCCCCGAGCGGUGACGUGGCCAAAUCGCACGCCCCUCCCAAGGAGUCAGACUUGGAGCCCGGACAGGGACCCAGGAGUCCUGCCCCAUCUCUGGCCGCGCAACAGCGGGAACUCCCUGCCUGAGCGUUAUUCCUGCUGCUUCUCCCCUUCCUGCUUCGCGGCCCGGCUUGGCGCAUCCCCCCGUGCUGGGCUGCCCUUUCUCCCAGCUCUCGGCACGUUUAUCCAGCUUCUCGGCACGUUUAUCCAGCUGUGCUGCUGGCAAAGAAGGAGAAAUUCAGAAAUCCUCUCCUUUCCCUGCCGGUGGAGUCCUGCUCGGCCGCCUGGGAGACAUCAGAGAAAGGAUCCUAGCUCUCCGCGAAGGGCUGCUCCCUGCUGCAUGCUCCCGUGCCCCUGGCUGCCGGCGCAUGCGGGAUUUUGGAGCGAAAGCCACCUUAGCCCCCACCCCACCUGCUUCCUUGGCCACAGCUCCAUGCUGCUAGAAAUGCCACCGAACGUCUCAUCCGUCCCGCUUCCCAACUGGCUCGGGAACCUGCCCAGAGCGGAUGAGCUGUGGCCGUGCUCAGGCACGCAGGGGUCGGGAGGCUCCAUCCCAGGGGUUUCCAGCAAAACGGGGUGCUUUUUUCCCUUUUGGGGUACAAAGGACCCACCGGCUCCGGGCAGCUCCCUGCAAAUUGCUGCAACUGGGCUUCGGUCCAUGGCAUCCAUGGGCAUCUUUGGUGCCAGUGCAGGGCUUGGGCCCCGGGGUUGCGCUGGGAUGAGUUUUUUCCCUUCCCCUGCGCUCCACUCGUGUCCUGCCGGGAGCGAACCUGGCCAGGGCCGGGCCGUUCUCCCACGGUGCCCAUGGGUUUCCUCGCGAUGGAAAGGCCCCGGAGCUCUCCGCAGCUGGAGGAGGGCUGGUGGGUCAUCUGCCUCCCCCUCCGCUCGCCUCCUGGUUGCAAUCCCCGGGAGAGAGCGCGGCGGAGGAGAGGAAACUUUACCUCCUGGGCAAUUUGACAGCUGCGCGAGCCUGGAGAUGAGCCUGCGAAGGGAAAUUUCUUUUUGCUUUUCUUUGCUUUUUGCUCACGUGACCAAAAAGUUCUGGGUGUUUUUUUUUCCUGCCUGCGGUCGAUUGAUCGGUUUGGUUUAUAACGCUGAAACGCUGUGUGCCCUUGUCCCCCAGGACGUCCCCGUGGAGGAGCGCAGACCUCCUGGGUUGAUGCAUUGCAGGCGCUCUCUGCUCGAGAUAUGA